rnacentral:rRNA from 1 species
UGGGGAAUCUUACACAAUGGGGGAAACCCUGAUGCAGCGACGCCGCGUGAACGAUGAAGCCCUUCGGGGUGUAAAGUUCUUUCGACAGGAACGAUAAUGACGGUACCUGGAGAAGAAGCUGCGGCUAACUACGUGCCAGCAGCCGCGGUAAUACGUAGGCAGCGAGCGUUGUUCGGAGUUACUGGGCGUAAAGAGUGCGUAGGCGGCGAGCCAAGUUUGGUGUGAAAUCUCCCGGCUUAACCGGGAGGGUGCGCCGAAAACUGGUUGGCUGGAGUAUGGGAGAGGAAAGCGAAAUUCCUGGUGUAGCGGUGAAAUGCGUAGAUAUCAGGAGGAACACCUGCGGUGUAGACAGCUUUCUGGACCAAAACUGACGCUGAGGCACGAAAGCGUGGGUAGCAAACA